rnacentral:lncRNA from 1 species
AUGUUUGAAGAGAUCUCUCAGAAGAAAGUGAUUGGUGAAAACAGAAUAGGAAAAAAAGUUAAGCAGAGAGUGCUCUCAGCUGGAGAGCAAAUUCAGUCUUCAGUCUGGUUCCACAGAGAAAUCCUGGAGCAAAUCACAGCAAAGCGUUGGACCCAUCUCCACCCACUGGUUGAAUCCUAUGGGGAGGUGGACAGGAAGAAGAAGGGGAAAAAGGAAGGAUGGAGCUAGUAAUUCUUUCAGUCCUUUAUAAAAUAAUUCAGUGCUAUCCAAGAAGCACUCCUUGUACCUGGCAUACUUCUCUAAGAAAAGUGAGCUAAUGAGAAUGAAGCUGGCAAUAUAUUGGGUUAGCGAACAGCAUCUGCCACAAAGUCUCUCACGAAUAUGCUGUGUAUCUCAGUUUUUUAAAUCAUAAACUAGGCAUAAAACUAACAACAAAUUUUGUGAGAGGAGGCUGAGGUUGUGUUUAGAAUAAAAAUAAAAUAGAAUCCCAUUUAUUAUCCAUAAAACUUGAGGAAUUAAAUAUCAUAUAAAUGAAAUAUAAGGUAAUAGUUAAGUGGGGAAUGGGAGUACAAGUAAAUAUUUGUUGACCAUAUAUUAUGUGCAAACAAAAGGAAAGGAAGCCUAGUGUUUACUAUUUAUCCUCUUUUAUUUUUGUCUUAAUGCAAUUCAUGCCCCAUGAAGCAGCGAAAUAUCACAGAAGAGUAGUCAAAUAGUUUCCAUGAGCUCUUGCUCAUGGAAAGUAUAGAGCUGUUUCUAUAUGUAAUGGGAAAAGGAGAGUUGAAGUUUUUUUGUUGUUGUUGUUUGUUUGUUUGCUUGUUUGUUUUUGAUGGAGUCUCGCUCUGGCACCAGGUUAGAGUAGGGUGGUGGUAUCUCUGCUUACUGCAAACUCUGCCUCCUUAGUUAAGUGAUCCUCCUGCCUUAGCCUCCCAAGUAGCUGGGACUACAGGUGCAUGGUACCACGUCCAGCUAAUUUUUGUAUUUUUAGUAGAGACAGAGUUUCACCAUGUUGGCCAGGCUUGUCUUGAUCUCUUGACCUCGUGAUCCACUCACCUCCACUUACCAAAGUGCUGGGAUUACAGGUGUGAGCCACCACACCGGGCCAAUAGUUCCUUUUAAAAUUAUUUUAGAAAUACCAAGACCAUAGAGUGGAUUUGUGGCUUAUUUAAAUGCUGUUAAUAGUGUCUGUUUUGAUUUUAUUUAUCACACUUUUGACAAUUUUGACAAAGGCUACACUGAAGUUUAUAUUUGUAUUACUUUGACAUAUUAGUAAAAAUGAGUGUUUGUAUAAGUUUAAACCUCAUAAGGAAACUAAUAAUUCUUAGUAGUCACCUUAAUUACCUAGAUCUCCCUAUAGAAGAGUUACUGUAAACAAUUACAUCAUUUCCAGACAUUUAUUUUACAUUCUUCUGUGUCAGUGCAUCUUGAUAACUAUGUAUAUAAUCUAUUAUUUAAAAAUGAAAUUAAAAAUUACAAUUCAAAUAUUUUAAUUCACAGAUAUUAUUUUCUUAAAUUCUAAUUAAUAAAGACAAAAUUUUACUAUAGUAG